AGAGUGAACGCUGGCGGUAGGCCUAACACAUGCAAGUCGAACGGCAGCACGGUAAGAGCUUGCUCUUAUGGGUGGCGAGUGGCGGACGGGUGAGGAAUACAUCGGAAUCUACCUUUUGGUGGGGGAUAACGUAGGGAAACUUACGCUAAUACCGCAUACGCCCUUCGGGGGAAAGCCGGGGACCAGCAAUGGCCUGGUGCUGAUAGAUGAGCCGAUGUCGGAUUAGCUUGUUGGACGGGU
rnacentral:rRNA from 1 species